GACAUGACUCUCGGCAAUGGAUAUCUCGGCUCUGGCAUCGAUGAAGAGCGCAGCGAAAUGCGAUACGUGGUGCGAAUUGCAGAAUCCCGUGAACCAUCGAGUCUUUGAACGCAAGUUGCGCCCGAGGCCAAUCAGCUAAGGGCACGCCUACCUGGGCGUCAAUU
rnacentral:rRNA from 1 species